rnacentral:rRNA from 1 species
UACGUAGGGGGCUAGCGUUGUCCGGAUUUACUGGGCGUAAAGAGCGUGUAGGCGGCCAAACAGGUCCGUUGUGAAAACUGGAGGCUCAACCUCCAGACGUCGACGGAAACCGUAUGGCUAGAGUCCGGAAGAGGAGAGUGGAAUUCCUGGUGUAGCGGUGAAAUGCGCAGAUAUCAGGAAGAACACCAAUGGCGAAGGCAGCUCUCUGGGACGGUACUGACGCUGAGACGCGAAAGCGUGGGGAGCGAACAGG